AGCACCGGAGCUUCUCGACAGUUUGGAAAGUCUGGGUUUGCCCAGCCCCCAUCUGGCUCUGCCAUCUUCACACAUUGGGAGGAACUCCUAGGCCUCUGCCCUCCACCCAGGCACCUGGAAUGAGACCACGUGCCCGUAUUGUGCCAGUGGCCAUAGCUGUAUGUGGCAGGGUAUGGCUGAAGCAUCACUGGGACUCACAGAAGACAAGAAUACCCCUCAUGUUCAUCCACUGACAGGGACUGGCCCAGAAAUCCUGAGAUCGGUGAUUUCCUCAGCCAUCAUGAGAGAAGCUUCCAUCUUCAGUAGAUGGGAACAAACACAGAGAUCCCCAGCUGGACAUUGUGCAGAGAGUGAGACCUUGGAACACUCAGUCCUAAAUGGGACAUCUCCAUUAAAUCCCUCUCUUCAGGGCUCAGGGAAAUUUGCAGAAGAGGAGGUGGAGAGAUUUAAGAGCCAGUGGGGUUGGAAGACACCAAGAAAACAAUGCCUUCUAGCCACAACCAGAGUAACCUACAUACGACUUCAGAGACUGUGGCAGCAUGCACAGGGCCUGCACAGGUCCAAGCCAGAUGGAUUCCCAGCACUGAGAGUGGGAAGUGAACACGUGCUCCCAUCCCUAACCAAGAAGCUAUCUACAAACCACAUUUAUUAAGGGCAGGCCCCCUGUCCAGCAGUAGACAGCCAACUCAAAAUGAACUCAAUGGUGUUUUGGGAGGUUUUUUUUUUUUUUCUUAAUGUUUUGUCUGGGAAUUUUUUACCUCGCUGGUCUUUUGCUUACAUAGUAUGGUUUCUAGUUUGUGUUUUCUGCAUAUAUUUAUGCUGCUGCUCCUUUUUUCUUUUUUUUUUGUUUUUUGGUUUUUCGAGACAGGGUUUCUCUGUGUAGCUUUGCGCCUUUCCUGGUACUCGUUUUGGAGACCAGGCUGGCCUCGAACUCACAGAGAUCCGCCUGGCUCUGCCUCCCGAGUGCUGGGAUUAAAGGCGUGCGCCACCACCGCCCGGCUUCUUUUUUUUUUUAAAGAUAACUUAUUUUUAUUUUAUGUGCAUUGGUGUUUUGCCUGUAUGUAUGUCUGUGUAUGAAUGUGUCAGAUCUCCUGGAACUGGAGUCACAGACAGUUGUGAGCUGCCAUGUGGGUGCUGGGAAUUGAACCUGUGUCCUCUGGAAGGGCAGCCAGUGCUCUUAACUGCUGAGCCAUCUCUCCAGCCCCCCUUUUUUCUUUUCUAUGGUUGUUUUGUUCUAUCCUGG